GCCCGUCUAGCUCAGUUGGUAAAACACAAAGCUCUUAACCUUGUGGUUGUGGGUUUAAGCCCCACGGUGGGCA
rnacentral:tRNA from 1 species